rnacentral:lncRNA from 1 species
GACAAGAUUGUUAUGUUAAAUGAGGUUCUUACUCUGUUGCUUUAAUAAAUGUUUUGUUGAUUAAAAUGUUUCAUGAAGAAUGUGUAAUACCCUGUUUGUGAGAAUUUAAUUGAAUUAUUUCGUAAAUAAAGAGUUAGGGGUUUAGGGUGUUACAUAGUUGGUAUCAGAGCAGGUCAGUCAAUUCGGCCUAGAUUGUGACUACUUUGUACCCUUGUGCACGAGAUGUGUGUGAACACUCUCGAUGCUUUAUAGUU